GAUGAACGCUGGCGGCGUGCUUAAUACAUGCAAGUCGAGCGAACGGACGAGAAGCUUGCUUCUCUGAUGUUAGCGGCGGACGGGUGAGUAACACGUGGAUAACCUACCUAUAAGACUGGGAUAACUUCGGGAAACCGUAGCUAAUACCGGAUAAUAUUUUGAACCGCAUGGUUCAAAAGUGAAAGACGGUCUUGCUGUCACUUAUAGAUGGAUCCGCGCUGCAUUAGCUAGUUGGUAGGGUAACGGCUUACCAAGGCAACGAUGCAUAGCCGACCUGAGAGAGUGAUCGGCCACACUGGAACUGGAACGCGGACAAGGCGCCUACGGGAGGCAGCAGUAUGCAAUGUGCCGCAGUGGGCGAAAGCCUGGCGGAGCGACGCCGCGUGUGUGGUGGAGGUCUUCGGAUCGUAAAACUCUGUUAUUAGGGAAGAACAGAUGUGUAAGUAGCUGAGCACAUCUUGACGGUACCGAAUCAGAAAGCCACGGCUAACUACGUG
rnacentral:rRNA from 1 species